UCGGGAAUUUUGGGCAAUGGGGGAAACCCUGACCCAGCAACGCCGCGUGAAGGAUGAAGUAUUUCGGUAUGUAAACUUCGAAAGAAUAGGAAGAAUAAAUGACGGUACUAUUUAUAAGGUCCGGCUAACUACGUGCCAGCAGCCGCGGUAAUACGUAGGGACCAAGCGUUGUUCGGAUUUACUGGGCGUAAAGGGCGCGUAGGCGGCAAUUCAAGUCAUCUGUGAAAUCUCCGGGCUUAACUCGGAACGGUCAGAUGAUACUGCUUUGCUAGAGUGCAGAAGGGGCAAUCGGAAUUCUUGGUGUAGCGGUGAAAUGCGUAGAUAUCAAGAGGAACACCUGAGGUGAAGACGGGUUGCUGGGCUGAUACUGACGCUGAGGCGCGAAAGCUAGGGUAGCAAACAGGAUUAGAUACCCACGUAGUCCCUGAGCGGGC
rnacentral:rRNA from 1 species